AUGGAAAACAAACCCCGCCGACAUCAAUGUGUUAAGCACAUAGGAUAUAUUUGGGGAAAAGGAAAUCCGACGGGUUGGAUUGCUCGUGUGUCCACGGGACAAAUCCCAUUUGAAAUGGAUGGUAUGAGUUUGUCAAAUGCUCGACAAGCCGCGAUAUGUGUUCAAUUUAGUACAAUACAAACUACAACUAGAUCAAAAGCGGAAGGGCCACUCACUAUAGAAGCUAUAACUAGAAAAGAGGAAAGAAGGGUCCGGCAAUAA
rnacentral:rRNA from 1 species